rnacentral:rRNA from 1 species
AACGAACGCUGGCGGCAGGCUUAACACAUGCAAGUCGAACGCUCGUAGCAAUACGGGAGUGGCGGACGGGUGAGUAACGCGUGGGAACGUGCCCUGAGGUACGGAAUAACUGCGGGAAACUGCAGCUAAUACCGUAUGAGCCCCGCAAGGGGGAAAGAUUUAUCGCCUUGGGAGCGGCCCGCGUCGGAUUAGCUAGUUGGUGGGGUAACGGCCUACCAAGGCUUCGAUCCGUAGCUGGUCUGAGAGGACGAUCAGCCACACUGGGACUGAGACACGGCCCAGACUCCUACGGGAGGCAGCAGUGGGGAAUCUUGCGCAAUGGGGGGCAACCCUGACGCAGCCAUGCCGCGUGAAUGAUGAAGGCCUUAGGGUUGUAAAGUUCUUUUGCCCGUGACGAUGA